AGUUUAGUCUUCCUGACGCAUUGAUCGUUUAUCUGACUGAGGAUUGUGCAAGUUAGAAUCUAUGGCCACGACCAUGGCUCUAAAAUAUCAGUAGCCUAACUGUGCUAAUUUAGUAACAUUA